UUGGCAAUAUUGAUUGCAAUAAAGUUGUAUGGCCACAUCGAUUGCCUGUCGAGAAAUCGAGUUAGGCUUUUGACAAUUUGUGAUAUUAUUUUACCCUACCGUUCACAAAUUCAAAAUAAAAAAGAGUGGUUUUUAUAUACUUAAUUAAUCAUAAACCUCAAAAAAGUCAGAUGGUGUAUAAAAUGUGUUUUAUAAAACUUGUUGAAAUAUAAGAUUUACCAGCACGAACUAACCGGCCAUGACGUCCUUGAAACUUACCCAAUUAUAUUUGUCGGAGGUAAAACAAGAUAUAUUUGUGGACUUUGACUUAAUAUCCAGCGAAAAUCUGAUAGCAUUACAAUGUUCCAAUAACCAGCUGAUUAUAUUGGAUCUUUUAGAUUUAUCAACAGAGUUAACUGAUUUGCCAUAUAAUUUAUACUACGUUAAAAUUCCUCAAACCUAUAACUUGGAACCCUUAAAGAAAAACGAAUUGAAACAAUCUUAUAAUGACUCCACUUUGUUGGAACAGCAUCGGCAAGUAUUACAGUCAGCAUAUAUGGCAAAAUUUUCUUGUGAAACUCUGAAAGUAAAUGCUUUGCAAUUUAAACGGCCACCAUGGAAUACACCGACCGCAGAAUCAGUUGCUGUUAUUGUAACUAACAGUGGGUUGUGUCAAAUAUUAAUAAAGAUGACUGCUCCAAGUCGUCAUUGGAAUGAAAUAUGCAAUGUUAAUGAAUUUUUUUUUAAUGAAAAAUUAUCCUCCAAAAUCAAAGGACUCACAAGAAGACAUGCUGUUGACUGCUACAUAACUGCAGCUGCUUGGCAUCAAAAGGAACCAAUAUUAUUGGUAUCGUUUGAGAAUGGAUAUAUAGCAAUUAUUUUGUUCCAAGAUGCAAAAAGUGCAAAUAUAAAAGACAUUUGUAUAACAAAAACACUCGAAAAAAUAUAUGACAUAAAUUUAUUUGACAAUUUUUUGCUUAUUGGUACUAGAGAUGGUAUUUUGCAAUUAUUUUCAGUAAAUCUAAUGAAUGAUAUGCCUAUUAUAACUCCAUUGGAAGAUUUAUGGAAUAAAAAAGAUAAUAUAGUUUGCAGCAAAGUAAUUGUAAAUAAGUUUUCUGCCAGUAUAUAUCUAGUCGCUUUUAAUAAAGGUCCUAAUAUAAUCCUAUACUCGUUGACUACUAAAGGUGAAGUUAUGCAUUGUAAAGAGCUGCAUAUUGGUGGGAUAAAAGUAACAGGAAUCCAAUUCAUAUCCCCCUCUGAUUUUAUCGUCACUACCAUUACGAAUGAUGUGAGUUAUUUUCAAAUAAACUUCGUGGAUCAAAGAGAAUUUGAAAUAAUUGAACAAAGUAUUGACACCGAUUUCAAAACCUCAAACGUAGGAAUUCUUGGUACACUCCCAUCAUCAAACACAAGUGUAUUGACCUUUAUAUUAUUUCGUAAUGGGGAAUAUACACAACAAUGUAAAUAUAUGCAUAGUAGUAUAUUUAUAAAUAUUGCAAAAUUGGAAAGACUCGGCUACCCAAUCCAAUCAACAAUAACUAGCAAAAAUGUAAUUAAUUCAAGUACCGAUAAUGCAACUAUCUUGGGAAUGGAUGUAUUUAAUAAUAUGCAAUAUGACAAUUACUGUUCUCUUACGGAUAUCAUAAAUACUCAAUUACCUGCCGUUUUGGAUGAAAGCUUUUUACGUCAACUUCAAACAAAAUUUGUAUUUGUUUCGAAUUUCCUAAGCUAUCAAAGGUAAGAUAUAUCAGUAAAGAAAUUUAUCUAGAUGAGUUCCCUUAAAUAUGAUUUAAUAUUUUUUCUUUUGUAUUCAGUUCUAAAUUAGACAUUUUUACUCUGUGUCAUACCAACUCAUGUUUUGAAUACAAACACGACAGCACAACACACAAUUUCGUUGUUGCCGUACUAAAACUUUUCACUUAAAUGAAAUUUAAAUAUUUUAUUCAAAGUGAUUUUGUGCAAAAGAUAAGUAAAUGUCGAUUCAUUUGUUUUAAUUAUCAAUUGUUAUUACAAAUGGUAUAUCAGACCUAUUUUAUGCUUCUGCUGGUAAAAUAACGUUAGACUAGUUAGAGCUUUGAAUAAUUUUACAUUUACAAUACAUACAAAACUGUUUUUAAUUUAGCGACAGCGACAACUACAAGCCUCUGCCGUGAAGACGUGCUGCUAUCUAAAUAACUGUGUCCAUAAGAACCUGUUUAUUUUAAUUUUUGAUAGAUGCUGCCUGUCGCUAAUUGGUUGAUUGCCAUAUGUUUGCGCUAUUUUAUCGUUGAAACAGCUUAAAAUUUUAAUUACAUUUUGCACUUCAAAUACUUAUUUAAGACUUCAAAAAUAUUUCGACUUAAAAUAAUUUCUUUAUUAUUAAUCAAAAAAAUUUCAAUAGAAAAUAGGCGAGUAUUUGUUGUGAAAAAAACUAUUGACAAAAGUUUUGUGAGCGAGCGAGUAUUUGUUUGGAAAAAAAUAAUAAGUUAAAAUUUUCUUAACUUAAAGAAGGCCGAGAGAACUAGUAUACUGUCACCGCUAGUAAAAAGCAGGUUCCAUUUAUUUAUCAUACAGAAGAAUUAGAAACUUGUGAUAAAUUUUUAAGAAUAUGGUUUCUUAAAUGACAGACUUGCGCAGUUUAUAGCUUCACAUUAAAAAUGUAACAGAUCCUGUAUCUCUUAAUACAGAUUUAACAGAUAAUGAUUGUAAUAAGAAACGCAAGAAAACAGGAAUAUAAUUAAUGAUUUUAUUAAUAUUUUCUCUGUAAGUACAACGAUUUGGGUUUUAUGACGUCAACGCUUGUAAUCUUUUUACUAUUAACCCUAAUACCAAUUGAAUAAAUUUUACAAAUGUUAAAAAUAUAAAUAGUUUGUCAAAUACCUGGUACACUACUUUAUCGUAUAUACA